UAAGGUAGCAUAAUAACUUGUCUAUUAAUUGUAGUCUAGAAUGAAGGGGUAAACGCGUACCUAACUCUCUCCUCUAUAUAUACAGAAUUUGUCCUAAUGGUGAAAAGACCAUUAUCCCGUUAAAGGACAAGAAGACCCUAUAGAGCUUUACAUAACGUCUUAACCUAAAAGAACAAUAUGUUUCAAUGGGGCGUUGAGAGAACACAAAAUAACAUCUCUACACACCUCUGACUUACUAGUCUUUUACACAACCUCCCAGGGAAUAAAGAAAAGUUACCUUAGGGAUAACAGGCUAAUACUCCUCAAGAGCCCAUAUUCACAGGAGUGUUUGGCACCUCGAUGUUGGCU
rnacentral:rRNA from 1 species